GAGGAAUCCGUCACAGGAGAGCUCAGAAUACCAUCAUAUAAUAACGAAAUAUAACCAUGAACUGAAAUAUGUGUGGAACUGAAAUGUUUCCGCGUGAUUCUACACAGUAGAAUGAACAGAUUAGCCACAGAAUUAGAGAAAAUUCUUACCAAGCUGAUCCCAAAGCUGUCUACAUUUAUCAGUCAUUGGAGUGCCUUGAUUUUUCCACAUCUGCAGUCUAGGAUCUGAUAGGAACUGUAAGCCCCUUGAGAGAGAUACGAUUUAACUUGUUCACAAACUUGCUCCUCAUCAAGAUGCCAGGUAUGGUCAUCAUCUGCCGAAGCUCCUGCUGUUGGAUCUGGUGCUCCGGGAAUUUGAUUUAUUUCCGACCUUUGCUGAAGAAUUUCAUCAGCUAGUUUUUGGGCUGUCGGAAGCACUUCUGUGUGGUGUUCUGAGAUCAGACAAAUCACCAGCCAAUAUAUAUUUAAAAGGGAGAUACACAAAUUGCUAAUGAACCGUGAGCCUUACACAAUGCAGGAUUUCCUAAAUCCUUCUAUUUAACUGUAAAAUUAAAAAAUGCUUCUGUUUUUCUAUUUUUGACUGUAUUUUCGUUCUGAUUGUGUGUAUUUGAGAUGUACAUAUGGGAU